CUUACUUUUUCUUGCUGUUGUCACUGUUCAUCCAUAAUCACAAGAAAGACAUAGUGAGGCAGCAAAGAAAGAAAUGGGCGUACAGUUAAGAAAAAGUAAGGCCUGGUUUGGGAAAUCGCGUGAUCCACAAGGAUUUUUAUGAACGUGGGCGAUAUGUAGCCCACAAUCGUGACGUAAGGUAUUCUCCCACGCAUUCAGAGUUAAUUAAUAAAACUGUACUGAGACAACCACCCAAGCUGUGCUGCAAGUCAGAUCAGAGAACCAGCGUGGCCAGCUCUGGUGGCAGUAGCUACCUGCUAUAUGAUAAUGAUGGCUAAGCUAUUCUUGAUCUAUACUAGCAUGUAGAAAGACACAAGAAAAGGUAAUAGUCUGAUAGAAUCUGAACACACAAUCUAGACUACAGUCUACACUAAGACUACAAAUUUGGCUUCAAAUGAUGUAAUUGUGGUUUUGCAUCAUAGUGAGUAAAUUUCCUGUUUGUGGCUUGUAAAUACUACAGUAAUUCUCCGUAAAUUUAAUUAUGGCUUCCGUUAUGUCAUUGUUUACUAUCAGAAUUGGAUAAAGAAACAACUUUUUCAGUUUUUCCAGCAUCAAUACCCAGGUCCUGAAGUGCAAGCCAGGUUCCAGAGUCACAGUACUAGUAGAUAUAGUAUUCAUGAACUGGCCACAGGAAAAUUAGGAUCCAGAACUGGGGAUUACUAAUUUGCCCAGAAAUCAAAGUCAGUCCAAACAGGAUAUAUCCAAUAAACUGGCCAAUGUUAGAACACAAGACCUGCUAUAAAAAAAUAUUGGCAAAGCGGAUGCUGUUUAUUUCUUUGCAAAGACUAACUUCUAGCAUUAUAUUAGCUAUCUAGGCAGUUUCAAGAAACUCUGGACACUCAAGUGGCAAGUAGGCAAGAGCUAAACUUACUCAUUUUUGUCAAUGUUUACUUUGUUGUAUCUUAGUCAAACCUGGGUCAUUAGUGUUCUUAUUUGGUCUACUUGUAGUUACCAGUGUUGUCUAUAGUCUAGGCCUAUCUGUAUCUGUCCAGCACCCCCAUUACUGAUUUGCCCAGAAAUCAAAGUCACAGAAAAAAUUAAUAUCACCAGUUUUCUUUCAUUCAAUGUAACUAUUCAGUUCCUUCUUACCACUUUAUUUUUAUAUCAUUCAGUAGCUUAUUUAUUCAGGAUUAUUUCUAUAUCAUUUAAUAGUGUUAGGCACCUUCUGAUGAAAAGUUAUCCUUGACAAAAGGAGUGUUACUGUUUUUGUUACUACCGCGAACUAUGAAUAUCAUUAACUCCCAUAAGGGGCCAUAUAAAUUGACAAAUGAACUGUAUAAUACACACUUCCGGGAGUCUUAGUGUAGACUGACUAGUAGAUCAUCUAGCUAACCCUAAAGUAUAUAGCUAGCUAGCUAUAGUGCUUGCAAACUUCCAGUUCCAAGUCCAUGUCCAGCUUGCUGCAGGCAAAGUUUUAUAGAUAUCUGCGUGGGCAGUCCAACAUCUCUAGCUCAGCAUGCCCACGCUCAUUUUCACCCUUCUACCACCCUUCUACCCUCACGCGACUUCCCGAUACAGGCUCUCCUUUUUCCUAACUCUACGUCUAUUUCUUUCUUUAUUCCUCCAAUUAAUACCGUAUUUUAUCUCAUUGAACGAUUAAGACAGUAUUUUAUCUUAUUGAACGAUCGUGAUAAAGAACAGAAAAAGGAGAGCCCCUGUGUAGAGGCUAGUAUAGUGCAUUGUUGCUCAUCAAUUAUCGUAUGCAGUGCUGCGGAAAUUGUUUAUUCUUAGUUGCAUGGUGUUCUCCAUCGCUGUCAGCUGCACUGGACACUCAUACCUAAAACCACCGUUGAUGACCUAGUCAACUAUCCGUUGAAGAAGCUGUUGUUCCAAUGGUCUAUGACAUCAUGUAUCGAAGGACGUGACACUACACUACAUGCAUGCUCUCUAUAACAUCAAUGUAAACUUCUCCUUCGCUCCAUUGUCUGUCAGUUUCUCUGCUAUUUGACGAGAAGAGAAGAUGUUGUGUUGAGCAUUUAAUAUUAUUAUACAUGCAGUAUUAUACAGUGAAGGUGUAUUGAGUGUGGAGACUGUGUGAGGAGGUGUCAGAGUCGGGUCUGGGAGCUCUGUUGGCCAUCUACAAGAGGCACUGUCAUCACCAUAACCGUGGUUGCAUGUGAAAAGAAAUGAGCUUGCUAGCCUCGACUCCAGCCCCUUGCAACGGCCUGGAAUCGAGGCUAUGAGCUUGCAUGCAGCAACUAUCUAGAGUAUGAUGUCUGUGGAGGUACCUAGCUUUAUAGCAACCAGUCAGUACAAAAAUACAAAGAUUAUCCAUUACCUGUCCUCCUGGGGUUCGUACUCAAGUUCUUCAAAGAUCUGAGCACUGUGUUGUUUUGCUACAGACUCCCAUUUGGCAAGACGUUUUAGAACGUCCUACCUUGACUAUAUCUCUGACACAACUACGGACUGGCGAACUUUAUAAAACAUAUCACUAUAAAUAAUUUAAUUUUCAGUGUCCAUUAAUAUUAUUGCAUGCACGUGUGAGCUAUUAUCCUUUUGUUAUUGUGUGUCUACAUGCAUAUAUCAGUCUCAAUGCCUGAUGUGGAAGGUGUCAUUAUGAAUUUGGCUAUUAUUAUAGCUUAUAAAAAUCAAUACAUGUAUUAAUGUAUCAUCUA